rnacentral:rRNA from 1 species
AACGAACGCUGGCGGCAGGCCUAACACAUGCAAGUCGAGCGAGGACUUCGGUCCUAGCGGCGGACGGGUGAGUAACGCGUGGGAACGUGCCCCUCGGUACGGAAUAGCCCCGGGAAACUGGGAGUAAUACCGUAUGAGCUCUACGGAGGGAAGAUUUAUCGCCAAGGGAUCGGCCCGCGUUGGAUUAGGUAGUUGGUGGGGUAAUGGCCUACCAAGCCGACGAUCCAUAGCUGGUUUGAGAGGAUGAUCAGCCACACUGGGACUGAGACACGGCCCAGACUCCUACGGGAGGCAGCAGUGGGGAAUCUUAGACGAUGGGCGCAAGCCUGAUCUAGCCAUGCCGCGUGAGCGAUGAAGGCCUUAGGGUUGUAAAGCUCUUUCAGCUGGGAAGAUAAUGACUGUACCAGCAGAAGAAGCCCCGGCUAACUCCGUGCCAGCCGCCGCAGUAAUAC